CCUAUGCAAAGAACUGUCUCUCUUUUCAGACACCCAUGGACAACAUUGGUACUCCCCCAUAAAAAAUUUCCUGUAGGCAAGGGAAAGGUACCCAGAAAAAAACCUGCCAGCUCUGCCUGGCCUUGGCCUCUGGUGAUCACAUCUCAUCUACCUCAGAAGCAACAGGUCUCUGUGCCUUCAUGCCUAUGGAAAAAAACUGGCCUUGUCCAGGGGCCAUGGAAAAAACUGGAAUUUGGCUGACAAAAUUCCAUCUAUCCCAGGAUUGCUCCCAGAAAAAACCUGCCAUUGACAGACACCUCAGCCUGGCCUUGGGCACUUGUGAUAUACUUUUAGACUAUGAGCAGAAUGCUUUCAUCUGAAAACACCAUGGAGAGGACUCAAAGAUCUCCCAGGCCUAGAGAACAUAACCCAUAUAUCGAGGCUGAUGUGCCUGGUCUGAGUUGUGAAGAGACUGAGGACAGAAUAGGAGUGGCGUGGCAGGGCUUAAAAGUGGGAUUCAAAAACGGUGGAGUUUUUUCUCCAUAGUGACAAAGAGCCAGAUAGUGAAAUUAUACCACAAAUGCAGCUGGGGAGGCCCAGACAGGACACAAAGAGAAAGGAAUUUUCCUCCCAGGGCAGGGCUAUGGUGCAGAACAUCCCCCAGAAGGAGUCUGGGUCAGCCCCAGGCUCUGUGUGGGCAGGCAGAGGCAGGCAGGAGGCAGAGCUGUCAGCAAAGGAAGGGCCCAGCCAGGUGGGGCAGCCGGGGGAUGCCGACAGCCUGCAGGGACAGAGGCGCAGGGCAGGGACACCGUGGGACAGCCUGGGCUGCACAGGGCACAGGGAUGGGCAGCAGCUGCAAGACAGCCCUGCCAGAGCCACCUUGGGCAGCACUUUGGCCAUGGCUGCUGGCCCUGGGCCUGAGGCAGGAGCAGGAGACAAGAGACCCUUGCAGGGCUGGGGCCUCAUUGCCUCCUUGUCCCUGCUCAGCAGCCUGGCAGGGGCCGCCCCAUGCUCCUGCCCUUGCCAUUGCACAUCCCCACAUGCCAGUGCCCAUCCCGGGAAGAGCCCUGAGCAAGAAGGGAGGGACAGCAUCUGCCUGGCCAGGGGCUGGGGCUCAGGCCUUGGCCCUUUGCAUUCCUCAAACACAUCCAGGUUUGCUCAGCACCAGAGACACCUUUGCCUUGUUUGUCCCCAGCUGUCAUCACUGCCUCCAGUGUUCUGCUCUAACUGGAACCUGGGGAAAAUUUCUCAUUUGUGUCUCUCAGUGGAACCAUUAAAACUCCAAGAAAUUUUGGAGUUUCAAUUUAAGUUUGAGUUCUUGAGAAGUUUUUGAACACUCUCUCAGGGACUGAGUCUGAUGUAAACAACACCAAAUCCCCAAGAGGUUCAGUAAGGUCCUUGUGCUGUGUCUGUGCUGCUGAGCUUUAAAGGAACAGCUCUUCCCAGGACCAGCUCCUCUCCCAGCCCAGCAGGGCUGAGGGCUCUGCCUGCGGGCACUGAGGGGACAGGAGCCAGGCAGAGGCAGCUGAAGGCAAUCAGGAUUGGGAAGACAUUGAGCUGAGACUUCACUUGGGGAAAGAUCUUCACAGCCCUGUGCAUGGUUGAAAUUUACAGACACAGUGAAUGUACAACAGCAGCUCCGUCAGGCACUUCCUCCUGCUGGCAUUGGCAGACACGUGGCAGCUGCAGCUCCUGCACUUCUGCCUCUUGCUGGGCAUCUCCCUGGCUGCCCUCCUGGGCAACGGCCUCAUCAUCAGCGCCGUAGCCUGCGGCCACCACCUGCACACGCCCAUGUUCUUCUUCCUGCUCAACCUGGCCCUCAGCGACCUGGGCUCCAUCUGCACCACCGUCCCCAAAGCCAUGCACAAUUCCCUCUGGGACACCAGCAACAUCUCCUACUCCGGAUGUGCUGCUCAGGUUUUCUCCUUUCUUUUCUUUACCACAGCAGGAUUUUCCCUCCUGACCGUGAUGUGCUACGACCGCUACGUGUCCAUCUGCAAACCCCUGCACUACGGGACCCUCCUGGGCAGCAGAGCUUGUGCCCACAUGGCAGCAGCUGCCUGGGCCAGUGCCUUUCUCUUUUCACUGCUGCACACAGCCAAUACAUUUUCCCUGCCCCUGUGCACAGCAAUGCCCUGGGCCAGUUCUUCUGUGAGGUGCCCCAGAUCCUCAAGCUCUCCUGCUCACACUCCACCUUCAGAAAAAUUUGUAUUUCAUUGCUUGGUGUCUGUUUAGGUUUUGGUUGGUUUGUGUUCAUGGUUUUCUCCUAUGUGCAGAUCUUCAGGGCCGUGCUGAGGAUCCCCUCUGAGCAGGGACGGCACAAAGCCUUUUCCACCUGCCUCCCUCACCUGGCUGCGGUCUCCCUAUUUCUCAGCACUGGCUUUUUUGUCUACCUGAAGCCUCCCGCCAUCUCCUCCCCAUCCCUGGAUCUGGUCCUGUCAGUUCUGUACUCGGUGGUGCCUCCAGCCCUGAACCCCCUCAUCUACAGCCUGAGAAACCAGGAGCUCAAGGCUGCAGGAAGGACACUGAUGACUGGAUGGUUUCAGAAACAUUAAACUGCUGGCCAAUUUCUAAAAAUCAAAUGUAAUGGAAGUAAUCCCUAAUAGCUUUUGUCUUUCGUG